rnacentral:tRNA from 2 species
GGGCCUAUAGCUCAGUUGGUUAGAGCAACCGGCUCAUAACCGGUCGGUCCUUGGUUCAAGUCCAAGUAGGCCCACCA